rnacentral:rRNA from 1 species
AAGUUGACCUCAAAUCAGUGAGAUGC